GACGAACGCUGGCGGCGUGCUUAACACAUGCAAGUCGAACGAUGAAGCUGGAGCUUGCUCCGGUGGAUUAGUGGCGAACGGGUGAGUAACACGUGAGCAAUCUGCCCUUGACUCUGGGAUAACUGCGGGAAACUGUAGCUAAUACCGGAUACGAGGCUCGAAGGCAUCUUCGGGUCUGGAAAGAAUUUCGGUCAAGGAUGAGCUUGCGGCCUAUCAGCUUGUUGGUGAGGUAAUGGCUCACCAAGGCGACGACGGGUAGCCGGCCUGAGAGGGUGACCGGCCACACUGGGAAUGAGACACGGCCCAGACUCCUACGGGAGGCAGCAGUGGGGAAUAUUGCACAAUGGGCGAAAGCCUGAUGCAGCAACGCCGCGUGAGGGAUGAAGGCCUUCGGGUUGUAAACCUCUUUUAGCAGGGAAGAAGCGAAAGUGACGGUACCUGCAAAAAAAGCACCGGCUAACUACGUGCCAGCAGCCGCCGCAG
rnacentral:rRNA from 1 species